rnacentral:rRNA from 1 species
GCAUGGNUGUCNUCAGCUCGUGUCGUGAGAUGUUGGGUUAAGUCCCGCAACGAGCGCANCCCUUGUCCUUAGUUGCUACGCANGAGCACUCUAAGGAGACUGCCGGUGACAAACCGGANGAAGGUGGGGAUGACNUCAAGUCCUCAUGGCCCUUAUGGGUAGGGCUUCACACGUCAUACAAUGGUCGGAACAGAGGGUUGCCAACCCGCGAGGGGGAGCUAAUCCCAGAAAACCGAUCGUAGUCCGGAUUGCACUCUGCAACUCGAGUGCAUGANGCUGGAAUCGCUAGUAAUCGCGGAUCAGCAUGCCGCGGUGAAUACGUUCCCGGGUCUUGUACACAC